AAGGGCACCACAAGAACGCGUGGAGCAUGUGGCUUAAUUUGACUCAACGCGGGGAAUCUUACCGGGUCCGGACACACUGAGGAUUGACAGACGGUUAUUGACUUAUACUCGCUUAAUGGCUUUAAGCUGUUAAACGUUUAACACCUUUACACAAAGAUGCUAGUCCUUUCAUGAUCGUUUGAUAGGUGGUGCAUGGCCGUUCUUAGUUCGUGGAGUGAUCUGUCUGCCUAAUUGCGUUUCACUAAGGUCCCAUUCUUCAUACGUAUGAAUAGCGUCUUAACUCACUUUUACCGCUACCUAUUUGUAGUAAGCGCUCAUACUAUUGGGACCGGAAUGCAACGAGCGCGACUGCACCACCUAAUUGCCCCUUAUCUACCAUUAAUUACUUUAUUAACCGCCCUGUACGGGCACCGGGGCCUUACCUUUACUGAAACUAGCUGGACCGCUGCUUUCCUUUAAGCCAGAGGAAGGUUGCGGCAAUAACAGGUCUGUGAUGCCCUCAGAUGUUCCGGGCCGCACACGUGCUACAAUGAUCAGCACAAAGAGUAUUACCUAUCUUCUUAUACCUAACCCAAUAUGUUAAACUUAUUGCGUAAGGGUAUUGUCUUAACGACUUAUCCGCUUUAGCGCUUUAAGAUUAUUGGACGGUUAUGCCUGCCUCGAAAGAGUGUACAGGGCAGCAAGAGUAAUGAUUCCCUCGUUUUUACUACUAAUACCGCGCUUGGUAACAUAUUACACUCGAUUAAGUAGGGUCUUUGCUUUUAAUAGCAAUUGCUAUCCUCACCCUUAGGCUCUAAGGAUAUUACUAUCUCUAAGGUCUACAGGGAGGUGUAUAUGGCGCACUUACUUAUUCACGGUGGGGACAGACCAUUGUUAACUG
rnacentral:rRNA from 1 species